rnacentral:rRNA from 1 species
CGGGAGGCUGCAGCAGUGAGGAAUAUUGCACAAUGGGGGGAACCCUGAUGCAGCAACGCCGCGUGGAGGAUGACGCAUUUCGGUGUGUAAACUCCUUUUAUAUGUCAAGAAAAUGACGGUAGCAUAUGAAUAAGCACCGGCUAACUCCGUGCCAGCAGCCGCGGUAAUACGGAGGGUGCAAGCGUUACUCGGAAUCACUGGGCGUAAAGGACGCGUAGGCGGGUUGGAAAGUCAGGUGUGAAAUCCUACAGCUUAACUGUAGAACUGCACUUGAAACUUCUAAUCUAGAGUAUGGGAGGGGGAGAUGGAAUUAGCGGUGUAGGGGUAAAAUCCGUAGAUAUCACUAGGAAUACCUAAAGCGAAGGCGAUCUCCUGGAACAUUACUGACGCUAAGGCGUGAAAGCGUGGGGAGCAAACAGGAUUAGUACCCCUGUAGUC